CCUACGGGAGGCAGCAGUGAGGAAUAUUGGUCAAUGGACGAGAGUCUGAACCAGCCACGUAGCGUGAAGGAUGACUGCCCCAUGGGUUGUAAACCUCUCUUAUAAAGGAAUAAAUCGAGGCACGUGUGCCUUUUUGCACGUACUUUAUGAAUAAGGAACGGCUAACUCCGUGCCAGCAGCCGCGGUAAUACGGAGGAUCCGAGCGUUAUCCGGAAUUAUUGGGUGUAAAGGGAGCGUAGAUGGGUUGUAAAGUCAGUUGUGAAAGUUUGAGGCUCAACCGUAAAAUUGCAAUUGAUACUGGCAGUCUAGAGUACAGUAGAGGUAAGCGGAAUUCGUGGUGUAGCGGUGAAAUGCUUAGAUAUCACGAAGAACACCGAUGGCGAAGGCAGCUUACUAAGCUGUGACUGACAUUGAUGAUCGAAAGUGAGGGUAUCAAACGGGAUUAGAUACCCCAGUAGUC
rnacentral:rRNA from 1 species